rnacentral:rRNA from 1 species
GCUGAUGCAGCAUGCCGCGUGAGUGAUGAAGGCCUUCGGGUUGUAAAGCUCUUUCAGUCGGGAAGAAAAGGCUGGUGUGAAUAACUGUAGUUUUUGACGGUAUCCACAGAAGAAGCACCGGCUAACUUCGUGCCAGCAGCCGCGGUAAUACGUAGGGGGCCAACGUUAAUCGGAAUUACUGGGCGUAAAGGGUGCGCAGGCGGUUUUGUAAGUCAGAUGUGAAAUCCCCGGGCUUAACCUGGGAAUUGCGUUUGAAACUGGUGGACUUUAGUGUGGGAGAGGGAGGUGGAAUUCCAUGUGUAGCGGUGAAAUGCGUAAAGAUUUGGAAGAACAUCGAUGGCGAAGGCCGCCUCCUGGGUUAACACUGACCCUCAUGGACGAAAGCGUGGGGAGCAAACAGGAUUAAAUACCCUGGUAAUCCACGCCCUAAACGAUGUCCACUAGUUGUUGGGGCUUACUAAGCUUGUUUACCCCGCUAACGCGUGAAAUUGACCGCCUGGGGAGUACGGUCUCAAGAUU